GAUGUCUUGAUGGUUACUCCAGACAGUCAUUUUGGGGUUGUGUGUUUGUUCCUCUGACAGUUUUUGGGGUGGUGUGUUCUGGUCUCUGAGAGUCGUUUUUUGGAGGGAAGUUGUUCUGGUCUCUGGAACAGUUCAUUUUGGCGGCUGGCGUUGUUGUCUGGUCUCAGAGUUGUUUUUAGGGUGGUGUGUUCUGGUCUGACAGUCGUUUUUGGAGUGGUUGAGCGUUCUUUCUGGUCUCUGAGAGUCGUUUUUGGGGUAGUGUGUUCUGGUCUCUGAGAGUCGUUUUUGGGGUGGUGCGUUCUGGUCUCUGAGAGUUGUUUUUGGGGUGGUGUGUUCUGGUCUCUGGGAGUCGUUUUUGGGGUGGUGUGUUCUGGUCUCUGGGAGUCGUUUUUGGGGUGGCGUGUUCUGGUCUCUGGGAGUCGUUUUUGGGGUGGUGUGUUCUUGGUUCUGGGAGCGUUUUGUGGUGGCGUGUCUUUGGUCGUCUGAGAGUCCGUUUUGGC
rnacentral:lncRNA from 1 species